rnacentral:rRNA from 1 species
UGGGGAAUAUUGCACAAUGGGCGAAAGCCUGAUGCAGGCACGCCGCGUGAGGGAUGACGGCCUUCGGGUUGUAAACCUCUUUCAGCAGGGAAGAAGCGAAAGUGACGGUACCUGCAGAAGAAGCGCCGGCUAACUACGUG